AUUAUAGUGAAGAACAAUGCCAAGAAAAGGAGGCUGUAUGAGGCAUUCAUUGAAACGCUACCACUGCUUACGUCAUUAGAGCUGUCAGAGAGAAUGAAGGUAGUGGAUGUAAUAUCCACCAAGGUGUACAGUGAUUCACAGCAGAUAAUUGCUCAGGGUGAUUUAGCAGAUUGCUUCUACAUUGUUGAGUCGGGUCAAGUUAGAAUCACCAUGAAAAGAAGCAGG